UUAGGAGCCAUUUGGUGUUGAGGGUUAUUUAAUCGAGUUAAUUUUAUACAGGCCCUGCAAAUAUAGAGAAUAGCAAAUAUAUUUAUAUAAAAUUUAACUUUCUUAUGUUGUUCUUAUAAAAGUCGUGAUAUUUUUAAAUAUAUUUCUACAGUUGGAAUCCGUUCGAAAAAUUUAGUUAACCAUAAAUUAAAUAUUUAAAUUCGGUUAGUUUAUGGUUAGUUUUUUAUAUUUUUACCUCUCUUAUAUUAUGCUGUUAUGAUUUUUAGAGCGAUAUAUUUUUUAUGGCAACAUUAAAAAUAUAAACGGUUCUCUAACGGUAACAAAUUACAGGGACAUACUUGAAAAUAUUAGAAUUUUUAUAAAAAAUAUAUAUAUAAAAGUUGAACUUUAUAGAAAUACAUUUGUCAUUCAUUAUGUUUGUAGGGAUCUAUAUUAAAUUAAUUCUAUUUAAUAUUAUUAUGCAAAAAUAUUUGAUGCAGGAAAAAGUAUAUGGUAAUAUGUUUCUUUCGUUCUUCUUAUGAAUCUACAAAAGAUAUAUUGUAAUCACAUAAUUAUAAUUUCUAUAAUGUAAUAUCUUUUAUGGGUUCGAGGGGAAUAUUUUUGCAUAAUAAUAUNAUAUCAAAAGUAAUCCGAAAACUAAAUCUGUGUCAAGAGCAAGUGCUUAAAUUUUUAGGAGCCAUUUGGUGUUGAGGGUUAUUUAAUCGAGUUAAUUUUAUACAGGUCUAUGUAAAUAUAGUGAAUAGCAAAUAUAUUUAUAUAAAUUUCAACUUUCGUAUAUUGUUCUUAUAAAAGUUGUGAUAUUUUUAAAUAUAUUUUUACAGUUGGAAUCCGUUCGAAAAAUUUAGUUAACCAUAAAUUAAAUAUUUAAAUUUGGUUAGUUUAUGGUUAGUUUUUUAUAUUUUUACCUCUCUUAUAUUAUACUGUUAUGAUUUUUAGAGCGAUAUAUUUUUUAUGGCAACAUUAAAAAUAUAAACGGUUCUCUAACGGUAACAAAUUACAGGGACAUAUUUGAAAAUAUUAGAACUUUUACAAAAAAUAAAUAUAUAAAAAUUGAAAUUUGUCAGAAUACAUUUGGCAUUCAUUAUGUUUGUAGGGAUCUAUAUAAAAUUAAUUCUAUUUAAUAUUAUUAUGCAAAAAUAUUUGAUGCAGGAAAAAGCAUAUGGUAAUAUGUUUCUUUCGUUCUUCUUAUGAAUCUACAAAAGAUAUAUUGUAAUCACAUAAUUAUAAUUUCUAUAAUGUAAUAUCUUUUAUGGGUUCGAGGGGAAUAUUUUUUCGAUAAAAACGGACAAUAUUUAUCUGAACUAUAGGCUAUUUUGAAUUGACUAUCCGAUCUUUCAAAAUUUUGAUUUUACUAUCAGUUUUUUAAUUUGUCUGAUUUGAAUCAGUCAACGAUAUUUUAACUUUAAAAUUUACAUUAAUUGUUUUGAUAAAUUUAUAGUAAUGAGAAUUGUAUGAAAUAUGCUAACUAUACAUAUAAAGAUAAAUGGCGCGUUCAAAUUUUGAAGUCGAUGUGUUGUUGACUGGCUAAAAUCAAACAAAUUGAAAUGUUAGGUAUUAAUCAGAAUUUUGAAAUAUCGUAUAAUCGAAUCAAAAUAGCUUAUAGUCCAGAUAAAUUUCAUAUAUUUUUAUUUAUUUUUUUUCAAUUCUCGCUAUAAUCUGAAACGAAACCUAACUAUUAGAAUAUUGGUGGUUAGUACUCGUGUUGCACUCUCCUAUCUCAAUCCCUAUC
rnacentral:lncRNA from 1 species